UUACGGGAGGCAGCAGUGGGGAAUUUUGGACAAUGGGGGCAACCCUGAUCCAGCAAUGCCGCGUGAGUGAAGAAGGCCUUCGGGUUGUAAAGCUCUUUUGUCAGGGAAGAAACGGUCUAGGCUAAUAUCCUGGAUUAAUGACGGUACCUGAAGAAUAAGCACCGGCUAACUACGUGCCAGCAGCCGCGGUAAUACGUAGGGUGCAAGCGUUAAUCGGAAUUACUGGGCGUAAAGCGUGCGCAGGCGGUUAUGUAAGACAGAUGUGAAAUGCCCGGGCUCAACCUGGGAACUGCAUUUGUGACUGCAUAGCUAGAGUGUGUCAGAGGGGGGUAGAAUUCCACGUGUAGCAGUGAAAUGCGUAGAUAUGUGGAGGAAUACCGAUGGCGAAGGCAGCCCCCUGGGAUAACACUGACGCUCAUGCACGAAAGCGUGGGGAGCAAACAGGAUUAGAUACCCCGGUAGC
rnacentral:rRNA from 1 species